rnacentral:lncRNA from 1 species
CAUUCCAAGCAAGCUGAGUUCAGCUAUAUGAAUCCUCACAAACCAUGUUGUUCCAUUUAAGGUUAUCCCAAAUCAAUAUCUCACACAGAAAAAGAAAAGAUAAAAGCUGUAAGUUCUUCAUCGACGGAGAGAAAAUGGUUUAUGGAGAAUUAAAAACAUAAGAAGCUUGUAAUAGUCAGUCUAAAGUCUAGCAUUAAGAAAUCAACUGGGUUCUAGUCUUCA